rnacentral:rRNA from 1 species
GGGGGAAUUCACAUUCAAUAAGCGGAGGAAAAGAAACCAACAGGGAUUGCCCUAGUAACGGCGAGUGAAGCGGCAACAGCUCAAAUUUGAAAUCUGGCGUCUUUGGCGUCCGAGUUGUAAUUUGCAGAGGGCGCUUUGGCAUUGGCAGCGGUCCAAGUUCCUUGGAACAGGACGUCACAGAGGGUGAGAAUCCCGUACGUGGUCGCUAGCCUUUACCGUGUAAAGCCCCUUCGACGAGUCGAGUUGUUUGGGAAUGCAGCUCUAAAUGGGAGGUAAAUUUCUUCUAAAGCUAAAUACUGGCCAGAGACCGAUAGCGCACAAGUAGAGUGAUCGAAAGAUGAAAAGCACUUUGGAAAGAGAGUUAAAAAGCACGUGAAAUUGUUGAAAGGGAAGCGCUUGCAGCCAGACUUGCCUGUAGUUGCUCAUCCGGGUUUUUACCCGGUGCACUCUUCUACGGGCAGGCCAGCAUCAGUUUGGGCGGUUGGAUAAAGGUCUCUGUCAUGUACCUCCUCUCGGGGAGAACUUAUAGGGGAGACGACAUGCAACCAGCCCGGACUGAGGUCCGCGCAUCUGCUAGGAUGCUGGCGUAAUGGCUGUAAGCGGCCCGUCUUGAAACACGGACCAAGGAGUCUAACAUCUAUGCGAGUGUUUGGGUGUCAAGCCCGAGCGCGUAAUGAAAGUGAACGGAGGUGGGAACCUUUCGGGGUGCACCAUCGACCGAUCCUGAUGUCUUCGGAUGGAUUUGAGUAAGAGCAUAGCUGUUGGGACCCGAAAGAUGGUGAACUAUGCUUGAAUAGGGUGAAGCCAGAGGAAACUCUGGUGGAGGCUCGCAGCGGUUCUGACGUGCAAAUCGAUCGUCAAAUUUGGGCAUAGGGGCGAAAGACUAAUCGAACUAUCUAGUAGCUGGUUCCUGCCGAUUUCCUCCCCCCGAAAAAA